rnacentral:rRNA from 1 species
GACGAACGCUGGCGGCGUGCCUAAUACAUGCAAGUCGAACGCAGUGGGGACGGGUGAGUAACACGUGGGUAACCUCCCAUCAGAGGGGAUAACACUUGGAAACAGGUGCUAAACCGAUACUGAUGGAUGGACCCGCGGUGCAUUAGCUAGUUGGUGGGGUAACGGCCCCCCAAGGCCACGAUGCAUAGCCGACCUGGGAGGUGGAGCGGCCACCCGGGGACGGAUACACGGCCCAAACUCCAAGGGGAGGCGGAGGUAGGAAAUCUUCGGCAAUGGACGAAAGUCUGACCGGGCAACGCCGCGUGAGGAAGAAAGGUUUUGGGAUCUUAAGACUCUUUUGUUAGAGAAACGGUAUCUAACUAGAAAGCCACGGCUAACUUCGUGCCAGCAGCCGCGGUAAUUC